rnacentral:tRNA from 1 species
ACACACGUAGCUCAACAGUAGAGCGCCUGGCUUGUAACCAGGAAGUCACCGGUGCGAAUCCGGUCGUAACUU